rnacentral:lncRNA from 1 species
CAUCCUUGUGACCUAAUCACCUUCCAAACACAUGAGUCCUUUGGGGAAAUUUUUAUAUCUAAACAUAAGUAUCCAUGUCUAUCAUCAUAGCAUGACAUAGUCUAUCUAUUCUCUUAAAAGAUGGGCAAAAAUGACUGGUGUGUGGAGUUACUUUCAGCUGUGAUGAACAUACUUCUGAAAGUGAAGAUUACUGAGCCACCAAGAAGCCACCAAGUAUCCUGCCAGGGUGGCCAUGCAUCCUGUUAAUGAAAGAGCUGCCAUCUCCAUGGGGAAGGGAGCGGGGGGACCACCAACAGCUCAUUAAAGUUCCCAUUGGCUGAUUACAUUAAUCUGAGAUGUUCUGUGCCUGGAAUGUUUUCUGUGAUUUUGUAUUUUCUUACUCCCGAAUCAAAACAAAAACAGCAAUUAUUUCUUGCCUCAAAUAAUUAUUGGGCUUCCUUUCUGAAAUCAGUCCAAAGUCUGAGCAAAGGGCA